CAAGCUCGUGUCUAUAGGUAUG
rnacentral:miRNA from 3 species